AUCAGAGAAUUCAUUAGGUAAUUAUUAUUUUUUCAUUAUUUGCUUAAGCCGUGGUGUAUUUACCCCAUACAAAUAUGACAGCCACGUAGUAAAUGGGAUCAGGAACUUGGCAUACCCAUUUUCUUCCACAUAGCGCAGAGGGGGAGCCUGGGAGCAGCUUCACAGUACGACAGCUAACAGUGAAGUUAGGAUAUAUAAGAAGUGACGGGAUGGUGUCGAGUGUCAUUUAUCAUCAUCUGUGGCCAUGAAGGAGAUCCUCUGCUCCGUGCUGGUGGAUGGUCAGAGAUGAUUUGUGCCCUGUUCCACAUGCGUGCAAGCGAGGCACCACAUAAUUGUAAGUCAGCUCACCUGGAGCAGCUUUGGACACCCUCAGUCCCCAGUUUAACCCCAUCUCCUGGGGUCCCCCGCACCUUGGUUAGUGUCCCAUUGCAGCAGGUGUCCAGCUCCACCAGCCCAGAGGUGGAUGUGGAUGGAGAAUCCCAGGGUGGCACCAGCCACUGUUCCUCUGCGCCUUUCUCAAAAAGGGUUUGGGGCGUUUGUGCAGGCUGGCUCCCAUUUCCCGGGGCAGCAGGGCUGCUGGGCCUGACCCCAUUGUUGGGUCACAGUGGGCGAUGGCAGAGGGGCUGGGCAGGAGGUCAGAGUGACAGCAGCACCGUGUCAGAAUGGCUUUGGAGUGCUAUACAGAAAGCAGCAGCUUCGGGCACGCUUCAAGAGCAUCCCAAGAUUUAUGAUGAUGAAUGAAACAAGAAGGGUUACAUAGCAGAAUAAACCUGGGAGUCAUCUUAACCACAAGAAAAUAUUUGACACAAUAGGCAAUAAGACAUCUGGCUGUUACUAGUGUGUAUUAGCAAGUCGCAUCCUUUUAACCCUCCUCAUCAUUUUAUUUGUAAAGUGCUCCCCCGCUGAGAUACCAGGGGCCAUGUGCAAACAAUUUAAAACAACAUCAGGAAAUAAACAGUAUGGGCAAAAAUGAUGAGAUGCUUUUUAAAGCCGAAAAGCUGC